rnacentral:rRNA from 1 species
UACGUAGGGUGCAAGCGUUAAUCGGAAUUACUGGGCGUAAAGCGUGCGCAGGCGGUUGGGCAAGACAGAUGUGAAAUCCCCGGGCUUAACCUGGGAAUUGCAUUUGUGACUGCACGGCUAGAGUGUGUCAGAGGGGGGGUAGAAUUCCACGUGUAGCAGUGAAAUGCGUAGAUAUGUGGAGGAACACCUGAGGCGAAGGCGGGUUGCUAGGCUGACACUGACGCUGAGGCGCGAAAGCCAGGGGAGCAAACGGG